rnacentral:rRNA from 1 species
GAUGAACGCUAGCUACAGGCUUAACACAUGCAAGUCGAGGGGCAGCACAGUGUAGCAAUACAUGGGUGGCGACCGGCGCACGGGUGCGUAACGCGUAUCCAACCUUCCCGUUACUCAGGGAUAGCCUUCCGAAAGGGAGAUUAAUACCUGAUGGUGUUCAAAUUCCGCAUGUUAUUUGAACUAAAGAUUUAUCGGUAACGGAUGGGGAUGCGUGACAUUAGGUAGAUGGCGGGGUAACGGCCCACCAUGCCCACGAUGUCUAGGGGUUCUGAGAGGAAGGUCCCCCACACUGGAACUGAGACACGGUCCAGACUCCUACGGGAGGCAGCAGUGAGGAAUAUUGGUCAAUGGUCUGACGACUGAACCAGCCAUGCCGCGUGAAGGUGACGGCCCUAUGGGUUGUAAACUUCUUUUAUUGAGAGUAAAAGNUUCUACGUGUAGAAUUUUGCAAGUUAUCAAAAGAAUAAGCAUCGGCUAAUUCCGUG